rnacentral:lncRNA from 1 species
ACCUCCCUAUUGUGCAACGCCCUCUCUUCAACAGGUUGGGCCCAGGCCAGAGGUCUCUACCAGCAAAGAGGAUAAAAGAGACUACACCUGGACAAACCCUCCCAGGCCCAGGCCUGAGCCUCACAUGUGGCCCCGGGGAAGGCAUCAGGGACUCCCUUUGCCCUCCCACUGACCUCCCUGCAAACCUCCCCCAAACCAAGGGGCAUCCUCAGCUGGCCAGACCCUGGGGGAAGGGAGAGAGCCGAGGAUCACCGGCACCUGUGGCUGGGUUACCCCUGCCAUGGACCACUGGGUGAUCAAGAAGUCAUUCCAAAAUGUGAAGCGUUCUGAAGAUAUGCACAUAGCGUAAGAACCUGGUGUAAUGUGCUGGUCAAGGCGGUCUCAGAGAGGAGAUGACGUUUGAGCUGACACCUGAGGGAUGAGAAGAAAGCAGCCAUUCCCAGGGCCCAGGGGAGGCAUCCCAGGAAGCCGGAUCAGCAUGAGCAAAAGCCCUGAGGCCUGGCACAAGUUGGUCUGCUUGAGAAGCAGGAGAGAGCCCUGAGCAUCCGGAGUGCAGCAAGCGAGGUGCACAGAGGAGCAGGAAGGGGCUGGGAGAAGGCUGGGGCCGGAUCAUGCAGGACAGGCUGGAGGAAGGGGCUUGAAUUGUCUUCUGACCACUGAGGGGAUAUAAACAUGAGGGCAAAAUCAUCUGAUUUCCAUGUGCAAAGGCCCACUCUGGCUGCUCUAGAGAGAACAGAUGAUUGCAGGGUAAAAGUGGAUUUAGAGAGGUCAGAUGGAGGCUGGGUACGUGCCGUGUAUGGUAGAUAGCAUGCUACCAAAUACACUCACAGGUAGCCCUAUUAUCUCCAUUUCACAGAUGAGCAAGUCAAGAUGCAGAAGGACUCUCUGGCUUGUCCAAGGUCACACGGCUGUUAGGAGCAGAGCAGCGUCCUGGUGCCCAAGCCCUGAGGUCCCCAGCACACUGCCUCUGCAAUGGCCACAACUGUCCAAAGACUAAGCUGACUCUCACACCUGGUAGUGUCUGUGGUCAUUCACUGUGGAUGGAAGUGGAGAAAUGCAGAAAACAGAAACACAGCUUCCCCUUUUCUGUCAUAUUUCUGUAUCGUUGGUGUUUGGAGCCAGUUGAGCACAAAGGGCCCCUGAGUGCUGUUUCCUUGUGAUAUUUGGGGGUUAACAGCUUCCCCUCAUCUCUUAAUUACCUGCCCUCCUUCACUUCAGCUGCACAUUCGUUAAAGAAUGCUCUCCCAGGAGAAGAGCUUGGUGUUAUCACCCACAAACAUCUUAGAAAACUAAUGCUAUCCUUGAGUGCCUGUUUACAGAAACAUUUUUACAUCUCACUUGACAUUUCCAGCAAAUCUUGAUCCUUCCAGCCAGGAAUAUUAAUAUAUAGGUCUUGAAAAGUGCAAGAGGCUCUUCCAUGGCUCCAAGCACAUUUGACACUCUUCCUUUUCUGAUCCCCAAGCAGACAGUGAUGAAACCCCAAUAGCUGGGCGAAUACUCAUCCAACAGGAAGAAUCAGUUUUAAGAGCUGGGUUCUCAGGGUCAAAUACUGUGGUGUGGCCUUUUGGUUGUAAUGAGUUGAAUGGAGGUCUCAAAAAAGAUAUAUCCAUGUUCUAAUCCCCAGAACUUGUGAAUGUGACCUUAUUUGGAAAAAGAGUCCUUUUGGAUGUAAUUAAGUUAAGGAUUUUGAGAUAAGGAGAUCAUCCUGGGUUAUCUGGGUGGACCCUAAAUCUGUUGACAAUGUCCUUAUGAGAGACCCCAGAGGGCACAGACAGGAAAGGAAGAGGCAAUGUGGCCCCAGAGGCUGAGAUCAGAGCUCUGUGGCCACAAUUCGAGGAACACCUGGAGCCACCAGAAGCUGGAGGAGGCAAGGAACAGAUUCUCCCUGAUCCUCUGGAUACAGAGGGAGAAUAGCCUGGCCGACACCUUGAUUUUGGACUUCUGGCCCCCAGAACUGAGAAAAUUAACUUCUGUUGUGUUAAGCAGCCACGUUUGUAGCAGUUCAUCAUAGCAGCCCUGGGAAAGAAAUACAGUGGGCUUCCAGUUCAAGGAGGAUCCACGAGGCCUGAGCUCCAUCUGUCGAUUGGAAUCACCAAAAUCAAGGUUGUGUGCGGGUAACGCCAGCACAAGCAGCUCAUGCUGGCAAAAGCAGACCAAACCGGCUCACGCAACGUCAAGUCAUCUUGAAGUGGUUCACGCACCACAGUGAGUGGUAUUGAUUGUGGUUAAGAGCCAGGUUCAAGGAGGUUUAUCACUCAGUAGCCAGGUAAAGCAGGUUCCAGGCCUGGCUCCACCACUCAACAACCGGGGAAACAGGGGAGCAGACCUGCAGAGGGGCCAGAAGACACCUGGCCGGGUGGGGAGCAGCCCCUCCGUAAUAACAAUCGGAACCUGGGAAGAUAAGUAGAGUCCCAGGGGAGGGACAGAGUUUCCCCUGUGUCACCACAUGGCUACUUUGACACAAAUGCACGUGGGCAGAGAGAGGCAUGCAGGUCAAGGGCCUGGCAGGGAGUCAGGGGCCCUCAGUGCCAGUCCUGGCUCUGCCUCUGCCUCUGACACGCCAUGUGACCUUGAGCAAGUCACCACCCUGUCUGGGCUUCGCUAACCCAUAUACGGAAUGAGAAGGUAUCGUCCCUGGUCACUGCAGGUUUUAAAUCAUGUAGUGAGAGAGAGCUCAUUUGGUCCAACUCUCUGCAACUGAAGGAAUGGAGACACCAAGGGGGAGUAAUCGGCCGCAGUGAUGAGUGGGUGGCAAAGGGAGCUAUCACUACCAUUGAUUAUCCAGCUACUUGUGCUUGAUAAACUCCCUCCUGGUGGAAUGGGCUUUCCCACAUCCAGCAGCACAAAUGCUGUGAGCAUCUACUACGGGCUGGGCACCUUCUCUGGGCUGGCACUUGACAUGGGUUAUCUCAUUUAACUCCCUAACAACCCUAUGUGGUAUUAUCAUCCCCAUUUCACAGGCGGCAAAACUGAAUCCCAGAGAGAAGACUCACUCAGACACAGCUAUCUGAACACUCUUUUCCAGUUCCCCUAGGGCAGCAGAGGAAGCAAGGUGGGGGGAAGCCAGUGGUCAAGGAUUCCAUGCGGAAUGUACCCUAGAAUUAACCCAUGGAGAGAGGGGUCUCGCUCUGUUGCCCAGGCUGUAGUACAAUGGUGCAAUCUCGGCUCACUGCAACCUCUGCCUCUGGGUUCAAGCGAUCCUUUGCCUCCGCCUCCUGAGUAGCUGGAAUUACAGGCAUGCACCAUGAUGCUUGGUUAAUUUUUGUAUUUUUAGUAGAGUCAGGGUUUUGCUAUGUUGGCCAGGCUGGGCUCCAACUUCUGGUCUCAAGUGAUCCACCCGCCUCGGGCUCCCAAAGUGCCAGGAUUACAGGCGUGAGCCACUAUGCCUGGCCAAAAGUGGCGAUGUGUUCUUAAUGCCCAUUUUCACAUAAAAGGCUUCCAGGAGGGGCCUCCCUGGGCUCCCGGAGGACACCCACAGUCCUCACCAUGCAGCUCCCUCCAACAUCAAGCCAGGAAUGGCCGAACAGAUCUUUCUCAUGCUUCAAAUCUCUGAUGAAUUUCUCUUGCCAGAGAAAGCUUGCCAUUUUCCAAGGGCUCACCCAGUCAGAUCCGUCCAACAAGGGUGAUCUCCCUAACAUUAGGUUAACUGACUUGGAACCUCAGUUAAUCUGCAAAAUCCCUUUUGUCAUAUAAUGGAAUACAAUCAUUUGGUUCACAUGCUCAUCUUAUUCACAGGCCCUACACUCAUACAAGGGCAGGGGACCACAGAAGAGUGAAGGCCAGUGAGGGUCACCUCAGAAUUCUGCCCAACACCGGUGUUUUGUAAUUUGGGUAGAUGUUGCCAUGUUGUCCUCCGUGGGGAUUAUGCAGAGGGAACUCUCCUCCUCCAGCAACAGUACAUGUACCUGCUUUUCCAUGGUGCUGCUUAGAGAAUGUUAUCAAACCUUUGGAUUUCUGCCAGUCUGAUAGGAGAAAAAUGGAAUCUCAAUUGUAUUUUAAAAUUGUAAUUAUCGCCUUAUGAAUAAGGCUGAGCAUUUCCUCAAAAGCAUAAGAGCCAUUUAUAUACUUUUUUCUUUAUGGCUUCUGGUUUUGAGGCAUAGAAAGGUCUUUCUAGCUCUAAAGUUAAUCAGAAAUUCUCUGUUUUCUUUUUGCUUUUUUUAAAAUUUUACUUUAAGUCCUUGGAUACAUGUGCUGAACGUGCAGGUUUGUUACAUAGGUAUACAUGGGCCAUGGUGGUUUGCUGCACCUAUCAACCCGUCAUCUAGGUUUUAAGCUCCACAUGCAUUAGGUAUUUGUCCUAAUGCUCUUCCUCCUCUUUCCCCAUGCCCCCAACAGGCCCCGGUGUGUGAUGUUCCCCUCCCUGUGUCCAUGUGUUCUCAUUGUUUAGCUCCCACUUAUGAGUGAGAACAUGCAGUGUUUGGUUUUCUGUUCCUGUGUUAGUUUGCUGAGGAUGAUGGUUUUCAGCUUCAUCCAGGUCCCUGCAAAGGACAUGAACUCAUUCUUUUUUAUGGCUGCAUAGUAUUCCAAGUUGCAUAUGUGCCACAUUUUCUUUAUCCAGUGUAUCAUUGAUGGGCUUUUGGGUUGCUUCCAAGUCUUUGCUAUCGUAAGUAGUGCUGCAAUAAACAAAUGUAUGCAUGUGUCUUUAUAGUAGAAUGAUUUAUAAUCCUUUGGGUAUAUACCCAGUAAUGGGAUUGCUGGGUCAAAUGGUAUUUCUAGUUCUAGAUCCUCGAGGAGUCGCCACACUGUCUUCCACAAUGGUUGAGCUAAUUUACACUCCCACCAACAGUGUAAACGUGUUCCUAUUUCUCCACAUCCUCACCAGCAUUUGUUAUUUCCAGACUUUUUAAUGAUUGCCAUUCUAACUGGCAUGAGAUGGUAUCUCCUUGUGGUUUUGAUUUGCAUUUCUCAGCUCAUUGCAACCUCUGCCUCCCAGGUUCAAGCAAUUCUCCUGCCUCAGCCUCCAGAGUAGCUGGGAUUACAGGGGCACGCCACCAAGCCCAGCUAAUUUUUGUAUUUUUAGCAGAAACAGGGCUUCACCAUGUUGGCCAGUCUGGUCUCAAACUCCUGAUCUCAAGUGAUCCAUCCACCUCAGCCUCCCAAAGUGCUGGGAUUAUAGGCGUGAGCCACCACGGCUGGCCAUUCUCCUGUGUUUUCUUCUGGGGCUUUUAUACUUUCAUUUUUUAAAAUCCAUAGUUUCUUGGAGCUGGAGGUGUCCCUUGUCAUUUUCUCAUCAGUGAGUGCAAAGCAGGAUCCCAAAAGGAUUGGAGUCCAGAGUAGAGAAAGGAGCUGCCGCGGUGGAGUCUGUUCAGUGCAGGCUCUGAUCUCCUUCAGCCCUGCCAGGAAUCCCAGCCAGCAGAUCUUCUUCCAGCUUCCCUUUCUCCAGCACUCUUGAUCUUCUGGGCUGGCACAGGGUCCAGGGUUGAUGGGGAUCCUAGCUGCCUGAGGAGCUUCCAGUCUGGAGGGUGAUACAAGCACAUGGCCAGACCUGAAUUCAAGCCAUGAGAGAGAUUCAGAACCUGGGCUGGGAGCGCAGGGGAGGGAGCGGGGUGCUGAUGGGGGUGGAUGGGAGGCUCCAGAGAGGAGGUGGCGUCUGAACUGAACCUUAAGAAUGAGGGGAAAUGUAAUGGCAGCGAUGAGAAAGGGGAGGCACUUCAGUGCAGAGAACAGCAAGAGCAAAGACAAGGAGGUGGAAAAUCAGCCAGAAACCUAGCCUGGAGAGGGUUUAGUGGACCAUGGGUCCUUGAUGGUAGAGACACAACAUGACUUAUCUCUGUGUCCCAUCCUCUGUGCCAGAGGCGGCAUCGACCAGACUUGGACAAAUGAAGCAGAAGGGACAGGGGACUUAGAAUACUAGGCUGCAUCAUUUUCUUUUUACUCUGACAGUGAGAAGCAAAGACCUCCACAAAGAAAGAAGCCCUUGGCUGUGUCAUCAUUUUAGAAUCUGGGCACUCUCUGCACACCACUGCCCCCUCAUGGCUGAUCUAGGAAUUCUCUCUAAAUCCCAGACUGAAGGUGAGGAGGAGGCUCAGUGAGUCUUAGAGAUUUGAAAAGCCGUGAAAUCCUGGUUGGAGAACAUCUGAGUCCAAAGGGCCCUCAGAGACUCUCUGACUUCCUCAUUA